rnacentral:rRNA from 1 species
GACGAACGCUGGCGGCGUGCUUAACACAUGCAAGUCGAACGGAAAAGCGCUGCUUUUGUGGGGUGCUGGAGUGGCGAACCGAUGAGUAAAAUGACAGUAACCUGACCUUGCCUUUGGGAUAACUUAAGGACACUGGGGCUAAUCCAGGACAGGAGCUCCUGCUGCUUGGUGGGGGUUGGACUGUUUCGGCGGUUGGGGCGGGACGCGCGGCGCGUGAGCUCGUUGGUGGGGUUGUGGCUGACAAAGGCUUCGACGGGUAGCCGGCCUGAGAGGGUGACCGGCCACAUUGGGACUGAGAUACGGCCCAGACGCCUACGGGAGGCAGCAGUGGGGAAUAUUGCACAAUAGGCGGAAGCCGGAUGCAGCAGCGCCGCGUGCGUUAUGACGGCCUUCGGGUUGUAAACCGCUUUCGCCUGUGACGAAGCGGGAUUGACGGUAAUGGGUAAAGAAGCACCGGCUAACUACGUG